GUAGGUGGCAAGCGUUGUCCGGAAUUAUUGGGCGUAAGGCGCGCGCAGGCGGUUCUUUAAGUCUGAUGUGAAAGCCCACGGCUCAACCGUGGAGGGUCAUUGGAAACUGGAGAACUUGAGUACAGAAGAGGAAAGCGGAAUUCCACGCGUAGCGGUGAAAUGCGUAGAGAUGUGGAGGAACACCAGUGGCGAAGGCGGCUUUCUGGUCUGUAACUGACGCUGAGGCGCGAAAGCGUGGGGAGCAAACAGGAUUAGAUACCCUGGUAGUCCACGCCGUAAACGAUGAGUGCUAAGUGUUAGGGGGUUUUCCGCCCCCCUUAGUGCUGCAGCUAACGCAUUAAGCACUCCGCCUGGGAGUACGGCCGCAAGGCUG
rnacentral:rRNA from 1 species